GCUGGGUAUGGUGGUGCAUGCCUGUAAUUCCAGCAGCUGGGAAGGCUGAGGUAGGAAGAUCGUGAGUUAAAAACCCACCUCAGCAACUUAGCGAGGUCCUAAGUGAGUCAGUGAGACCCUGUCUCUA
rnacentral:sRNA from 1 species